rnacentral:rRNA from 1 species
CACGUAGGGGACGAGCGUUGUCCGGAUUCAUUGGGCGUAAAGCGCGCGUAGGCGGCUCGGAAAGUCGGUCGUGAAAUGCCGGGGCUCAACCCCGGGACUGCGUCCGAUACUCCCGAGCUGGAGGCAGGUAGGGGAGAUCGGAAUUCCUGGUGUAGCGGUGAAAUGCGCAGAUAUCAGGAGGAACACCGGGGGCGAAGGCGGAGCUCUGGGCCGUGCCUGACGCUGAGGCGCGAAAGCUAGGGGAGCGAACAGG